rnacentral:tRNA from 1 species
CUUUAAACUCUUAAUUUAAAAGAAGGUAGUUAAAUUCUACUAUUAAGGG